rnacentral:rRNA from 1 species
UACGAAGGGUGCAAGCGUUACUCGGAAUUACUGGGCGUAAAGCGUGCGUAGGUGGUGAGUUAAGUCUGAUGUGAAAUCCCCGGGCUCAACCUGGGAAUGGCAUUGGAUACUGGCUCGCUAGAGUGCGGUAGAGGGUGGUGGAAUUCCCGGUGUAGCAGUGAAAUGCGUAGAGAUCGGGAGGAACAUCUGAGGCGACGGCGGCCACCUGGACCUACACUGACACUGAGGCACGAAAGCGUGGGGAGCAAACAGG